AGAGUUUGAUCCUGGCUCAGGAUGAACGCUAGCGGCAGGCCUAAUACAUGCAAGUCGGACGGGAUCGUCCCCUUCGGGGGAGUGAGAGUGGCGCACGGGUGCGUAACGCGUAUGCAACAACCCUUUCCGGGGGACAGCCGGUGGAAACGCCGGGUAAUACCCCAUGCCCUCCCUGAUGGGCAUCCAUUGUGGAGGAAAGACUUCGGUCGGAGAGGGACGGGCAUGCGUCCCAUUAGCUAGUUGGCGGGGCGACGGGCCCACCAAGGCGACGAUGGUAGGGGAUCUGAGAGGACGGUCCCCCACACUGGUACUGAGACACGGACCAGACUCCUACGGGAGGCAGCAGUAAGGAAUAUUGGGCAAUGGGGGAACCCUGACCCAGCCAUGCCGCGUGAGGGAAUGAGGCCCUACGGGUCGUGAACCUCUUUGCCUGGGACAACGGCGGGUCGAGAACCCGCGUGCGGGUACCAGGCGAAUAAGCAUCGGCUAACUCCGUGCC
rnacentral:rRNA from 1 species